AGUGAACGCUGGCGGUAGGCCUAACACAUGCCAGUCGAACGGCAGCACAGUAAGCUCUUGCUCUUACGGGUGGCGAGUGGCGGACGGGUGAGGCAUACAUCGGAAUCUACUUUUUCGUGGGGGAUAACGUAGGGAAACUUACGCUACUACCGCAUACGACCUACGGGUGAAAGCAGUGGAUCUUCGGACCUUGCGCGAUUGAAUGAGCCGAUGUCGGAUUAGCUAGUUGGCGGGGUAAAGGCCCACCAAGGCGACGAUCCGUAGCUGGUCUGAGAGGAUGAUCAGCCACACUGGAACUGAGACACGGUCCAGACUCCUACGGGAGGCAGCAGUGGGGAAUAUUGGACAAUGGGCGCAAGCCUGAUGCAGCCAUACCGCGUGGGUGAAGAAGGCCUUCGGGUUGUAAAGCCCUUUUGUUGGGAAAGAAAAGCAGCAGGUUAAUACCCCGCUGUUCUGACGGUACCCAAAGAAUAAGCACCGGCUAACUUCGUG
rnacentral:rRNA from 1 species